UACGUAGGGUGCGAGCGUUAAUCGGAAUUACUGGGCGUAAAGCGUGCGUAGGCGGUUGGCAAAGUCAGCUGUGAAAGCCCCGGGCUUAACCUGGGAAUGGCGGUUGAAACUAGUCGACUAGAAUCUGGCAGAGGGGGGUGGAAUUCCACGUGUAGCAGUGAAAUGCGUAGAGAUGUGGAGGAACACCGAUGGCGAAGGCAGCCCCCUGGGCUAACACUGACGCUCAUGCACGAAAGCGUGGGGAGCAAACAGG
rnacentral:rRNA from 1 species